UGCUGACGAGUCCCAAACAGGACGAAAUAGCUGUCCA
rfam:Echinostoma caproni strain Egypt genome assembly, scaffold: ECPE_scaffold0018620